rnacentral:rRNA from 1 species
CCAGACUCCUACGGGAGGCAGCAGUGGGGAAUAUUGCACAAUGGGGGAAACCCUGAUGCAGCAACGCCGCGUGAGUGAAGAAGUAUUUCGGUAUGUAAAGCUCUAUCAGCAGGGAAGAAGAUGACGGUACCUGAGUAAGAAGCCCCGGCUAACUACGUGCCAGCAGCCGCGGUAAUACGUAGGGGGCAAGCGUUAUCCGGAUUUACUGGGUGUAAAGGGAGCGUAGACGGUGAGACAAGUCUGAAGUGAAAGCCCGGGGCUCAACCCCGGGACUGCUUUGGAAACUAUUCAACUUGAGUGCAGGAGAGGUAAGCGGAAUUCCUAGUGUAGCGGUGAAAUGCGUAGAUAUUAGGAGGAACACCAGUAGCGAAGGCGGCUUACUGGACUGUAACUGACGUUGAGGCUCGAAAGCGUGGGGAGCAAACAGGAUUAGAUACCCGCGUACC